CCGCAGGCUGAGCAGCUGCUGCGCCGGUCACGCCACGCCGCUUCUUGCCUGGUGCGUCCUCCGGGUCGCAGCCGGACGCUCGGCUAUCUAGCCAACUAGCCUGUAUGCUGUCUCGCCGCAUACAACGUGAGUGCGUGUCCUGCGGCUCUGCUGUAGCGUAAGAAAUUGAUUUACAAGCAAGGUUCCCUAGGCGCGAUUGAG